rnacentral:rRNA from 1 species
AAUAGAUACCCUGGUAGUCCACGCCGUAAACGAUGCUAACUCGUUUUUGGGCCUUUGGGUUCAGAGACUAAGCGAAAGUGAUAAGUUAGCCACCUGGGGAGUACGUUCGCAAGAAUGAAACUCAAAGGAAUUGACGGGGGCCCGCACAAGCGGUGGAUUAUGUGGUUUAAUUCGAUGAUACGCGAGGAACCUUACCAAGGCUUAAAUGGGAAAUGACAGGCUUAGAAAUAGGCUUUUCUUCGGACAUUUUUCAAGGUGCUGCAUGGUUGUCGUCAGCUCGUGCCGUGAGGUGUUAGGUUAAGUCCUGCAACGAGCGCAACCCCUGUCACUAGUUGCCAUCAUUAAGUUGGGGACUCUAGUGAGACUGCCUACGCAAGUAGAGAGGAAGGUGGGGAUGACGUCAAAUCAUCACGGCCCUUACGCCUUGGGCCACACACGUAAUACAAUGGCCAGUACAGAGGGCAGCUACACAGCGAUGUGAUGCAAAUCUCGAAAGCUGGUCUCAGUUCGGAUUGGAGUCUGCAACUCGACU